rnacentral:rRNA from 1 species
AACAUCGCGAGGUGAAGCAAAUCCCCAAAAAGUAGUCUCAGUUCAGAUUGUAGGCUGCAACUCGCCUACAUGAAGUCGGAAUUGCUAGUAAUCGCGGAUCAGCAUGCCGCGGUGAAUACGUUCCCGGGCCUUGUACACACCGCCCGUCACACCAUGGGAGCCGGUAAUACCCGAAGUCAGUAGUCCAACCUUGUGAGGACGCUGCCGAAGGUAGGAUUGGCGACUGGGGUGAAGUCGUAACAAGGUACC